UUCAAAACGUCGUGAGACAGUUUGGUCCUUAUCCUCUGUGGGCGCAGGAGAAUUGAGGGGAACAUUCCCUAGUACGAGAGGACCGGGAAUGACUUACCAAUGGUGUUCCGGUUGUCGCGCCAGCGGCAGGCCGGGUAGCUAUGUAGGGAACGGAUAAGCGCUGAAAGCAUCUAAGCGCCAAGCCUCCCCCAAGACAAGUUCUCCCAGUGGUUCGCCACUCUAAAGCCAGGUCGUAGACCACGACCUCGAUAGGCCGCAAGUGUAAGCGCAGCGAUGCGUUGAGCCGAGCGGUACUAAUAAGGCGUGUGGCUUAGCUUA
rnacentral:rRNA from 1 species